UACGUAGGGUGCGAGCGUUAAUCGGAAUUACUGGGCGUAAAGCGUGCGCAGGCGGUUUUGUAAGCCAGAUGUGAAAUCCCCGGGCUUAACCUGGGAACUGCAUUUGUGACUGCACGGCUGGAGUGCGGCAGAGGGGGAUGGAAUUCCGCGUGUAGCAGUGAAAUGCGUAGAUAUGCGGAGGAACACCGAUGGCGAAGGCAAUCCCCUGGGCCUGCACUGACGCUCAUGCACGAAAGCGUGGGGAGCAAACAGG
rnacentral:rRNA from 1 species